GGAAGUUGUGACUCAUAGCCACAGUGGACUUGUCAGGGAAGUGACUCAGCACUUUAGCACCUUAGCACCCACAAGGACUGGGCAGCCUGGAACAGAAGAAAGCUGCAGGACAGUUCUCUGGAGGGGAAGAAAAUCAAUGUACACCUUUCCUCUGUGGGAUAAAAGUAAAAGCAAUUCUUGACUUUAGCAGUCUGUAAAGAAACCUGAACCUAAGUACAAGCAGAGCAACCAGAGAAAUAGAGGAAGACUGAAUUAAACAGGAGCUGCAGAACUUGGCAGGCCGAUAACAAUACAAAUGGAUUUUCUCUAACAGAGAAAAACAGCUGUCCCCAUUAUUUGAAUGCUUCACCUUUCUCCAUUCCAUUAAUUGGGUCUUUGAUCACAAGCUGAGGUGGAGAGGCCCUGAUAAGGAAUAGGUUAUUAGUAAAGUAGCCUAAAGGAAUGAAUUGGGCCUGGUACUUGCUGCAGAAGAUGAGAUAAACUCAUAAUGCCUGUGUAUGUGAGUGGUAGAGAGUGAUAGGGCCCUCAGCCUGCCCUGAACUGCUUGCAAAAGGGAGAAGACUAAUACUCUAAUGCUAUGAUAGCUAAUGCAGGAUAUAAAUUUAGCUCCCGGGAGUGGAAUAGGAUAAAAAUUCCAUAAAGAGUUUUUUUCUGUAAAUGGCUUACACUUUUAUAUCAAACUAUGUCAGAGUAUUCACUAAAUAAAGUAAAAUAAAGCAGUUUCUUGAUCUUGCUA
rnacentral:lncRNA from 1 species